CGACCGCUUGUGCAGCCGCCAUUUCUUCUGACCAUCGACUGUCCACCGGAUUGUAAAACAGCCUGGAGCCAAGCAUCAUCAGACCAUAGAAGAUUGCCAUGGCAAGUUCAAAACCUGCAAGACUGAAGGUGAUUCUAGGAGAGAGCAACACUGAAAAACUGACUCUUUCAAAUGGCAUACCAGAUUCUCUGGAUGAUCUUCUCAGCAAGGUGAAGGAUACCUUUGGUUUAAAGACCAACAUCAGACUGCAAUAUAUGGACAAAGACUUUGGUAAUGACUUCUUCAACCUCAGCUCAACUUCUGACCUUGUGGACUUGGGAACAGUCAAGGUGAUUCAAGAAGAAGCAGUUCAACCUUUUGUUGAUGUCAUUGAAACAGCUCCAUCUUCUUCUGCAGUUCACUCAGAUGACAGCAGUUCUUUAGCUUCAAAUGACACUAUACUCCUCUCCUCCCCUGAAUCCUUCUCAUCGCGAACAAAACAAUGGCCAGCCAACUUUCCCAUUCCCAUGUUUUCGUAUGACACUGAACGUCAGCUACAGAAGGGGAAUUCUGAGU